AAAUGUAAAUGACAGGAAACAUUUAAGUGGAUUCAAGAAGAACAUGAUAUUGUUUGACAUCACAAUGACUCACUGACAAAUAAGCUGCACAGAGAGAAAUUCAAUAAAGGUUCAGAAGGUCAGAGGGUCACAAGAGUUUACAACUCAUGCAGGUACAGGGGACGUAAGUGUUGACCAGUCUUGAAGGACAAAGGAAAAGGAAACAAAGAGAAGAAAGAAACAAGCAUGAUAGAAGGUGAUGCUAGUAACAGCUAUGAUAAAAGAAGAAAGAAGAUAUUUGGAAAAGGAAAAAGAUAUGGCUGCCUCUGCUGCUGGAGUUAGAGGAAAGCAACUGUGCUCUGGUGUCUGAGUCCAGUGGAAUGUUCUGUUCAUCCCCAGAAUUCGACGUGAAGUGGGUUACGUAGAGAUAUGCCAGAGCCUCCUCCCUCCCCUGCCUCGUUGUGCCUGUUUAAGUCUCUUUUUCAACUGAGGACCCAAGAAAACAAGUGCCAACCAUUGCAGCAUAACAAAGGAGGUCUUAGAUCAUGUAUCAGGACUGAAAAAGAGAUGCCAAACCAGUUUUGUCAACUUUACCUAAGAUGUAUCUUCAAGUUAUACAAGCAAAGAUUAAGAAUUUGGCCAAAAAAUUGAAGAACUGUGCCAUGUACAUCUCCAGUCCUUCUGCUGCACCGCCCCCCCCAUGGGAGAGGGAAGCAUAGAGCGUCCCCUGGAAGAACUUCUUUGGGAUCCCUCAGAGAACUUAAUACGUGUCUCCUGGAACUUAAGGAAUAUAGUGGAGUGGUGCCUUACUCAAGUUUCAGGAAGCCGAAGUGGAAGAAGCUGUGUAAAGUGACAAUGCCAGCAGGAUAGGGGCUACAGCUGAGAGUUAACUGCAAUCACUCAGAAAGCCACAGGUCCCUAGAGAGGCAAGGACUCUUCACCACAAAGAGGCCACGGGAAGAGGAGGAAAAUGGAAGGGCCCCGCUGGUGCAGAGGCUUUUGCUCGUGUCAAGAAAAUUACAGAGGAGAGAUUCUCGGUGAUGCGGGAAUCUCCAAGUGCCUAUGGGAGAGGCCAUUUAAAAAAUGCGCCACAAGCAGCAAAACCACCCCCAGCUGAAAGACUGUCUGGUCUGACCCCAAGCUUGGAGAGGCUGAAGCUGGAACUAACAAGUAAGAGGUAGAAACUGGCAGAACAAAGAAAGAAAAACUGAUUGUAUGCCCCUUUUCCAGUGCCAACAGGAGCUUGUGACAGGCUGAGAUGGGAUGGCGAAGGAGGAGCAAAAUUUGAACUGAAUUUGGAAUUUUGUCAAAUUAAUUAAAUAAGUGAAAGUCCUUUGAGGACUAAAGAGACAGGAGGUCUUCUAAAGAUUAUCUAAUAGUAAAGUAACUACCAAUCAUUUAGUACAAGGAAGGGGGAAACCAACAUAAGCAGCCAGUUUACAGGAGAAGACGUGAGAAAAAUUAAAAUUGUUUUAAAAUUGCCUCCUAUGAAUUAUUUUCUUAAUGUUCAUGGUACAUAU
rnacentral:lncRNA from 1 species